rnacentral:rRNA from 1 species
AUUGAACGCUGGCGGCAGGCCUAACACAUGCAAGUCGAACGAGUGGCGGACGGGUGAGUAAUGUCUGGGAACCUGCCUGAUGGAGGGGGAUAACUACUGGAACCGGUAGCUGAUACCGCAUACCAUCGGAUUUGCCCAGAUGGGAUUAGCUAGUAGGUGGGGUAAAGGCUCACCUAGGCGACGAUCCCUAGCGGGUCUGAGAGGAUGACCAGACACACUGGAACUGAGACACGGGCCAGACUCCUACGGGAGGAAGCAGUGGGGAAUAUUGCACAAUGGGCGCAAGCCUGAUGCAGCCAGGCCGCGUGUAUGAAGAAGGCCUGCGGGUUGUAAAGUACUUUCAGCGGGGAGGCGUUACCCACAGAAGAAGCACCGGCUAACUCCGUGCCAGCAGCCGCGGUAAUUC